GACGAACGCUGGCGGCGUGCUUAACACAUGCAAGUCGAACGGUGAAGCGCCUUCCUUUUUGGUGGGUGGGGAUGCGUGGCGAACGGGUGAGUAACACGAGAGUAACCUGCCCUCUUCUUCUGGAUAACGGCAUGAAAGUGUGGAUAAUACAGGAUAUUCUGGGUCUGUCGCAUGAUGGGUCUGGGACAGCUAUUGUUUCGGUGGGGGAUGGGCUCGCGGCGUAUCAGCUUGUUGGUGGGGUGAUGGCCUACCAAGGCGGUGAGGGGUAGCCGGCCUGGGAGGGUAGACGGCCUGACAGGGGGUGAGACACGGUCGGGACUGCGACGGGGGGCAGCAGUGGAGGGUAGGGAGCAGUGGGCAAAAGUGUGAUGCGGCGGCGCGGCGGAAGGGAUGGAGGCCUGCGCGUGGUGAACGUCUUUCGGUAGUAAACCAGGCUCGCCUGGUUUGUAGGUUGGUUGACGGUAGCUGGUUAAGAAGCGCCGGCUAACUACGUG
rnacentral:rRNA from 1 species